GGCUCAGGAUGAACGCUAGCGGCAGGCUUAACACAUGCAAGUCGAGGGGUAUAGUUCUUCGGAACUAGAGACCGGCGCACGGGUGCGUAACGCGUAUGCAAUCUACCUUUACAGAGGGAUAGCCCAGAGAAAUUUGGAUUAAUACCUCAUAGUAUGUGAGAAUCGCAUGGUUUUCACAUUAAAGUUCCAACGGUAAAAGAUGAGCAUGCGUCCCAUUAGCUAGAUGGUAAGGUAACGGCUUACCAUGGCAACGAUGGGUAGGGGUCCUGAGAGGGAGAUCCCCCACACUGGUACUGAGACACGGACCAGACUCCUACGGGAGGCAGCAGUGAGGAAUAUUGGACAAUGGGCGCAAGCCUGAUCCAGCCAUGCCGCGUGCAGGAUGACGGUCCUAUGGAUUGUAAACUGCUUUUGUACAGGAAGAAACACUCCCUCGUGAGGGAGCUUGACGGUACUGUAAGAAUAAGGAUCGGCUAACUCCGUG
rnacentral:rRNA from 1 species